AGAGUUUGAUCCUGGCUCAGGAUGAACGCUGGCGGCGUGCCUAACACAUGCAAGUCGAACGGAGCUGCUUUGAUGAAGUUUUCGGAUGGAUUUAAAACAGCUUAGUGGCGGACGGGUGAGUAACGCGUGGGUAACCUGCCUCACACAGGGGGAUAACAGUUAGAAAUGACUGCUAAUACCGCAUAAGCGCACAGUACCGCAUGGUACAGUGUGAAAAACUCCGGUGGUAUGAGAUGGACCCGCGUCUGAUUAGCUAGUUGGUGAGGUAACGGCCCACCAAGGCGACGAUCAGUAGCCGGACUGAGAGGUUGACCGGCCACAUUGGGACUGAGAUACGGCCCAGACUCCUACGGGAGGCAGCAGUGGGGAAUAUUGGGCAAUGGGCGCAAGCCUGACCCAGCAACGCCGCGUGAAGGAAGAAGGCUUUCGGGUUGUAAACUUCUUUUAAGAGGGACGAAGAAGUGACGGUACCUCUUGAAUAAGCCACGGCUAACUACGUGCCAGCAGCCGCGGUAAUACGUAGGUGGCAAGCGUUGUCCGGAAUUAUUGGGCGUAAAGCGCGCGCAGGCGGCUUCCCAAGUCCCUCUUAAAAGUGCGGGGCUUAACCCCGUGAUGGGAAGGAAACUGGGAAGCUGGAGUAUCGGAGAGGAAAGUGGAAUUCCUAGUGUAGCGGUGAAAUGCGUAGAGAUUAGGAAGAACACCGGUGGCGAAGGCGACUUUCUGGACGAAAACUGACGCUGAGGCGCGAAAGCGUGGGGAGCAAACAGGAUUAGAUACCCUGGUAGUCCACGCCGUAAACG
rnacentral:rRNA from 1 species